GACGAACGCUGGCGGCGUGCUUAACACAUGCAAGUCGAACGAUGAAGCCGGAGCUUGCUCUGGUGAAUUAGUGGCGAACGGGUGAGUAACACGUGAGUAACCUGCCCUUGACUCUGGGAUAACUGCGGGAAACUGUAGCUAAUACCGGAUACGACCCUCGGAGGCAUCUCCUGGGGGUGGAAAGAAUUUCGGUCAAGGAUGGACUCGCGGCCUAUCAGCUAGUUGGUGAGGGAAAGGCUCACCAAGGCGACGACGGGUAGCCGGCCUGAGAGGGUGCACGGCCACCCUGGGACUUAGACGCGGCACAGACUCCUACGGGAGGCAGUAGUGGGGAAUAUUGCACAAUGGGCGAAAGCCUGAUGCAGCAACGCCGCGUGGGGGAUGACGGCCUUCGGGUUGUAAACCUCUUUUAGCAGGGAAAAAGCGAAAGUGACGGUACCUGCAGAAAAAGCACCGGCUAACUACGUGCCAGCCGCCGCCGUAA
rnacentral:rRNA from 1 species